UCAUACUCUUGCCGCCAUUUUGAAGAACACGUUCUUGACUAUCGUGUGCAGGAAAUCGGUAAAGGGUAUAGAAUUGACUGGGUACCGGAUGAACCUCCGAGACGGUUUAGCGGGUGGAAAUAUAUUUUGUUGCAAAAGGUUUCCGUCUCUGCAGAUAAUGAUGAGUUAGCAGUUAUGGCUUCUCUGAAUUUGGAGCUGAUGGUUUGGAGGAGCUCUGAUUAGAAAUGGGUCGACUUGGGUUUUGGUGAUGUUGAUGUUCAGGAUAUUGUUUAUUAUAAGAAGCAGUUUCGUGUAGUGAUGUCAAAUGGGCAUAUUUUAAGUGUUGAUCCGAAGUCUUUGGGGGUUAGUGAAACUUUGCCUCUAUUGUUGACUCGUUUUACUUACAAAAGCUUUGUAAAUACAUCUAGUGAAUUGUGCUUGAUUGAAAUUCGUAAUAGUAGUGAUAAAAAAAAGUUAGUAAAUAAGAAAAAUUUCUCUCCAGCUGAGGUUGAGAAAGUGGUUUUGAAUUCUAUUUUCUAUUUGUUUAAGCUUGAUGAAGAAGAGUAAGAGUGGAUUGAAGUGAAGGAUUUGGAGGGUCGAGCAUUGUUUCUAUUUGAUGGAGGUAGCUUAUUUUUUUCGGCCAAAGAUUUUUUGGGAAUAAAACCAAAUUGUGUUUAUAUGGGUGAAACUGCUUUCUUUGGGGUUACAUAUGAUUUUCCAGGGAUGUAUACUUUGAUUUUCGACUUCAACGACGGUAGUAAUGAGUGGCUCAUAUCAUUUCCUGAAUCUUAUGAGAUUUUUUUAUCUCCACCAGCUUGGCUCUUCCCUGAAUGUACUUGAACAACUUUUAUGGAUCGAUGCAAAGACAGUUUACCGAAGAAGUUUUUGGGAUCAACCGCUUAAGUAGUGCUUCAUCAUCGAUGUGAAGAUUUGAUUAACAUCUUGGUCAGGCUAUGCAGGGAUUAUUAAGAAUUUUUUUUUAUUAGUUGGUAGUUAUGCUGGUUUUAAUUUCUGAGCAUGUAUAUAUGCAUUAUGGAUGGUAAUGUUUUGAAACUAGAUUAAGCUUGGUCAUUUCCGUCUCCUGUUAUGCCCAGACUCCUGUAUAUCAACUAGCUUUCCUGCACUUUUUGAGCUGCUAAUAUUGUCCUGAUGAGCUCAGAGUCUUUCAAAU